CCAAAAUUCUCAUUCUGACUCUUUAAUCUCAACCCUUCCUUCCUUAUCACACACACCCCUUUCCCCUUUCUUCUUCUUCUGCUUCUUCUUCUUCUUCUUCUUCUUCUUCUUCUUCUUCAUUUCUUUCUUAUUUGUAUUUGGAUUACUCCUUCAUUUCAAUUCCCUCUCCUUCUACUCUCUCUCUCCAUUAUCCAUUUAUCUUCUCCCCAAUUUCCCCUCUUCCUUUUAACUCUCUUCUUCUUCUUCUUCUUCUUCUUCUUCUUCUUCUUCUUCUUCAGUUAAUUUCUUCUUCACACCAAAAAAAACAAUGGCACCAAGGAACAGCCAUGGCAAGCCUAAAGCUCAUGAUAAGAAGAAGAAGAAGGAAGAGAAGGUUCUUCCAGCUGUUAUGGACAUCUCUGUUCUUCUUCCUGAUGACACCCAUGUUGUCUUAAAGGGAAUAUCAACGGACAAAAUAAUAGACGUUCGUCGGCUACUUUCUGUCAAGACCGAGACAUGCAAUAUUACCAAUUUCUCCCUUGCUCAUGAGGUAAGAGGGCCUCGGUUAAAGGAUUCGGUGGACGUGUCCGCACUGAAACCGUGCACCCUAACGUUAGUGGAAGAGGACUACGACGAGGAGCUUGCGGCGGCGCACGUUCGGCGACUCCUUGACGUCGUCGCUUGCACCACGUGUUUUGGAACGUUACCUUCGGGGAAGGAUCAGAAUGGCGGUAAGCUUGACAGUAAUGGCAGGAACUUGUCCGGUGCUCUGGAUAAGAAAGCGAAAAAGUCCCCGAACUCCGCUGCUUCGACCGUCUCCGGUAAGUUCGACGGGUCUGCAGCUAAGCAAGAUGAUUCGGAGGCGGAGAUCAGUCAUUCGUGCCCUAAACUUGGAACGUUCUACGAUUUUUUCUCUCUCUCCCACCUCACGCCUCCUCUUCAAUUUAUACGGAGAGUGACUAAGCAGGCAGUGGAUGGAAUUUUGCCAGACGACCAUCUCUUCUCGCUUGAAGCAAAGCUUUGCAACGGGAAGGUUGUGCGCGUGGAAUCUUGCAGGAAGGGAUUCUUUUGUGUUGGAAAACACCGGAUUUUGAGUCACAACCUGGUUGAUUUAUUACGCCAGCUGAGUAGAGCCUUCGAUAACGCAUAUAGAGAUCUCAUCAAAGCAUUCUCAGAACGCAACAAGUUUGGAAAUCUUCCUUACGGGUUUAGAGCCAAUACAUGGCUUGUUCCUCCUGUGUCAGCACAAUCGCUCUCAGUUUUCCCUCCUCUUCCUGUGGAAGAUGAAAGUUGGGGAGGAAAUGGUGGUGGUCUAGGAAGGGAUGGUAAAAGUGACUUGAUACCAUGGGCCAGUGAGUUUCUAUUUCUAGCAUCUAUGCCUUGCAAGACGGCAGAAGAGAGACAGAUUCGAGACAGAAGGGCUUUCCUUCUGCACAGCCUUUUUGUUGAUGUUGCCAUUUUCAGAGCCAUUAAAGCAAUUAAACAUGUUAUAGCAGUGUCAAAAGUGGACCAUUUAGUUUCAGAGGGUGAAGUUCUCUUUACCGAGAGGGUAGGGGAUUUAAAAGUUACGGUUGCAGCAAAGGAUGUUCCUGAUGCAAGUUGCAAGGUAGAUACCAAAAUCGAUGGAAAACAGGCCAUUGGAAUGGACCAAAAGAACCUGGUGGAAAAGAAUUUAUUGAAGGGAAUCACUGCUGAUGAAAAUACUGCUGCCCAUGAUACUGCAGCCCUAGGUGUCAUAAAUGUGAGAUAUUGUGGUUAUAUCUCUACAGUGAAAGUCGAGCAGAAAGAGAACGAGAAAGUUAGUUCUCAAUAUCAAAUCAUUGAACUUCUUGACCAGCCUGAAGGUGGUGCCAAUGCCCUUAACAUUAACAGCUUGAGAUUAUUGCUUCACCAAACUACACCUUCGGAGCACAACAGAUCUCUCACACAUUUGCAAAGUAUGGACCAAGAAGAGCUUGGUGCUGCCCAAGCUCUCAUAGAGAAACUGUUAAAAGAAAGUCUUGUCGAGCUUGAAAAGGAGGAGACACAACCUAAUCAUUUUGUUAGAUGGGAACUUGGAGCCUGCUGGAUUCAACAUUUGCAAGAUCAAAAGAACACAGAAAAAGAUAAGAAACCAUCCAGUGAAAAGGCCAAGAAUGAAAUGAAGGUGGAGGGACUAGGGACACCUCUCAAAUCUCUUAAGAAUAAGAAAAAGCAAGAUAUGAAAACAUUAAAGAUGCAAGCUAAAAAUGAUACCAGUUCAGAUGGCAUGACUGGUGAAGUCAACGGUGCUUCCUCAUGUGAAGCUGAAAAUGAAAAGAAUGCAAAAGAAAAUGAAAUAGCAUUAAGGAGGAAGUUGUCUGAAGAGGCCUUUGAUCGGCUGAAAAAUCUGGACACUGGUUUGCAUUGCAAGUCGAUGCAAGAAUUAGUUGACUUGUCACAGAACUAUUACGUGGAAGUUGCUCUUCCAAAACUGGUAUCAGAUUUUGGUUCUUUGGAGCUUUCACCAGUUGAUGGCCGUACUCUAACAGAUUUCAUGCACACAAGAGGUCUUCAGAUGCGUUCACUUGGUCAUAUUGUCAAGCUUUCAGAAAAGCUCUCGCAUGUGCAAUCACUUUGCAUACAUGAGAUGAUAGUACGGGCUUUUAAGCAUAUUCUUCGGGCUGUCAUAGCUGCUGUUGACAUUGAUAAAAUGGCUGUUUCUGUCGCUGCUACAUUAAAUCUGCUCCUUGGGGUUCCUGAAAAUGUAGAUCCACAAAAACCUUGCAAUGUCCAUUCCCUUGUCUGGAGAUGGCUGGAGCUAUUCUUAAUGAAGCGAUAUGAAUGGGACAUAAGCAGCUUCAACUACAGAGAAUUAAGAAAAUUUGCAAUUUUGCGUGGCAUGUGUCACAAGGUCGGUAUUGAACUGGUUCCACGAGAUUUUGAUAUGGACUCUCCAUUUCCGUUUCAAAAAUCAGAUGUCGUAAGCCUGGUCCCAGUGCAUAAGCAAGCAGCAUGUUCAUCCGCAGAUGGAAGGCAGCUUUUAGAGUCUUCGAAAACAGCUUUAGAUAAAGGAAAACUUGAAGAUGCUGUAACCUACGGUACUAAGGCUCUUGCAAAGCUCGUUGCAGUUUGUGGUCCCUAUCAUCGCAUGACAGCUGGAGCUUACAGCCUCCUUGCUGUAGUUCUAUAUCACACUGGUGAUUUUAAUCAGGCUACUAUUUACCAGCAAAAAGCCCUGGAUAUCAAUGAGAGAGAAUUGGGACUUGAUCACCCAGAUACAAUGAAGAGUUAUGGGGAUUUAGCGGUUUUCUAUUACAGACUUCAGCAUACAGAGUUAGCUCUGAAGUAUGUAAAACGGGCUCUCUAUCUUUUACACCUCACUUGUGGCCCCUCUCAUCCAAACACUGCUGCAACAUACAUCAAUGUGGCUAUGAUGGAGGAAGGGCUUGGAAAUGUGCAUGUUGCCCUCAGAUAUCUCCACAAAGCUCUCAAGUGUAACCAACGAUUGCUUGGCCCUGAUCAUAUUCAGACAGCAGCAAGCUACCAUGCUAUAGCCAUCGCACUCUCGCUAAUGGAAGCAUACCCUUUAAGUGUUCAACAUGAGCAGACAACUUUGCAAAUUCUGAGAGCAAAGCUGGGCCCAGACGAUCUGCGCACUCAAGAUGCUGCUGCUUGGCUAGAAUACUUUGAAUCCAAAGCUUUUGAACAACAGGAAGCUGCAAGGAAUGGUACUCGGAAGCCUGAUGCAUCAAUAGCUAGUAAAGGCCACUUAAGUGUCUCAGAUUUGCUCGACUAUAUAAAUCCCAGUCAUGAUGCCAAAGGAAGGGAUGCUGCAGCAAAGAGAAAAAACUAUAUAGUGAAGCUAAAGGGGAGAUCUGACCAUAGUGCAAGCAUGGCACACAGUGAAGAAUCUCCCCAAGAGAUCUCAAAAGAGGUUUCUGAUGAAGAGACACUUGUACUUGUACCAGGGGAUGGUCCAAGUACAGACGAGGAGACUACGACACCAGUUGAAGCCCCGCAGCCUGUUACUGAGGAAGCUGCUGAGGAAAGGCCAAAAACUGUAGAUGAUAUCAUAUCUGAACUCCACCCUGAAGGAGAAGAUGGAUGGCAAUCAGUUCAACGUCCAAGAUCAGCUGGGUCAUAUGGGCGGCGGCUGAAGCAACGUCGAGCCACUUUUGGCAAGGUUUUCAGUUACCAGAAGAUGAAUAUAGAUGUUGAGAGUGAAGCUCAUAAACUGAAGAGUAAUAAUCCAAACAGUCGAUUAUAUGUGUUAAAGAAAAGAACAAUAUCCCAUGGUAGUUAUACAGAUCAUCAUUCUAUGAAUUCCUAUCAAGGUUCCAAAUUUGGGAGGAGAAUUGUCAAAACUUUGACUUACAGGGUUAAGUCAAUUCCCUCAUCUACAGAAACUGCAACAGUGGUGUCUGCCACUGAAACUGCUGACAAGGUCAGCUUUGUAGUAGAACCUGGUAGAUCCUCAACUCCAAUUGAUGCUAGCUCAUUGAAGAAUACAAUAGUUAGCCUUGGAAAAUCACCUUCAUACAAAGAAGUGGCUGUAGCCCCACCAGGUACUAUUGCCAUGUUGCAGGUCAAGGCUCCUCAGAGUGAUACAACUGGUGCUGAGGAACUCAGAGUUGAGAUACAUGAAGAAAAAUCAAAUGAAAUGAAGGAAAUCUCUAACAUUUCUAUUGUGGAAUCUUCUGAUUUAUUGAAAGAGGAUAAACAAGUUGAGGAGAAGAAUGAUGAAACUCAGCCAGAACAUACUGUGGAAAAUAGCCCUUCUCAAAUGGUGUCUGAGCCCGUGGAAGGACUUAAGUCCUGUGUUGUUGAUGUGAAUGAAGUUGUGGAGGACAAUGUACCUGAGGAUAGCACGUCCUAUCCUGGUGGAUCUUCUGAAAGUAGACCUGCUGUGGAGGAUCUAUCAAACGACUUUGAAUCUGACAAUUUUGACUCCCAUGAACAAGCUGAGGAUUCAAAGGACAAGUCAUCAGUUUUAAGUUCUGGCGAGACUAGAGGACUCAAUAACAAGAAAUUAUCUGCUUCUGCAGCUCCAUUUAACCCAUCACCAGUUAUCAUACGUGCUGCACCCGUGGCCAUGAAUAUAACAAUUCCCGGUCCUCGUGCCAUUCCACCUAUUGCACCGUGGCCAGUAAACAUGAAUAUUCACCCAGGGCCUGCUUCAGUAUUGCCAACAAUUAAUCCAUUAUGCUCAUCUCCUCACCAACCAUAUCCAUCCCCUCCACCAACUCCUGGUAUGAUGCAAUCCAUGCCCUUUAUAUACCCUCCUUAUUCCCAACCACAGGCAAUACCAACUUACACUCAGCCUUUAUCCGUACCUGGUUAUUCCCAACCAGUACCAACCAGUACAUUUCCUGUAACCACAAGUGCUUUCCAUCCCAAUCCUUUUCCUUGGCAAUGCAGUGUGAACGGGAACCCAUCGGAACGUGUUCCAGGCACAGUUUGGCCUGGUAGCCAUCCUGUCCCAUCACCUGUUGAUCCUGCUAAUGAUUUCAUGAAAGAUUUGAAUGUCAAUGGUGACAAUUCUUUGAAAGUUCUGCCAGCAGAUAUUGACACCCUAGGAGAAGCUAAAAAGGAGAAUAAUUCUCUGACAUCUGAGCGUAUGGUUAGUGAAAAUAGAGGUGCUGGGAUUGGUUUAGAGAAUGUGGAAGAAAAGUGUCAUUCAAAUCCAUGCAUGGUUGAAACUUCAACUAUUGAACCCGUACAAAAGUCCAUUUUAAAUGGAAAUGUGAAAAGCAGUAGCGAAAAUGUAGAGGAGGAGAAAACCUUCAGCAUUUUGAUAAGGGGAAGAAGAAACCGGAAACAGACUCUCAGAGUGCCGAUUAGUUUGCUAAGUCGACCUUAUGGCUCACAGUCAUUCAAAGUAAAUUAUAACAGAGUGGUUAGAGGAAGCGAUCUUUCUAAAUUUACCAGCUAUUCAGCAAACAAAGAAUGUACAGCUAGUGCAACAUAGCUGUGGGUUAUGUCAUACUUGAAGACAGAUUGUUCAAAGAUAGAGAAGGAUAUUGCUGAUAUUAUGUCCUCUAAGCAAAUGGAGUUACUGGAACUCGAUGUCGUCUGGCUUCAUGUCUACAUAUCAUCCCUGCCUUGUCACUUUCAUGAUUCAAACAAACUCAGAGAACAAUUGAGGCAUGAUAAACAUGUGGUGAAGAAUUAAGCAGCUCUUGAGGUGAUUCUUCAUUAUAUAGUUGGAAAUUGGAUCACUUUCAUUCAAAGAUAAGUUGGUUUCUGGCUUUGGGAUAGUGAUAGCUGUGAUUUUGGUAGGGUUAGUUUAAAAGUGUAUACCACUGAUUAUUUCAUUUAUGUUUGACCCAUAAACUUUUCAUUCCCUUUCUUUCUUUUUUUUUUUUCCUUUCUUCUUCUUCUUCUUCUUCUUCAUGAUCAAGUUGAUUAGAACCUUUUUUAUGUUCUAAUGACAUAACAAUGAGCCAAAAGAAUAAGGAAUUGCUCCCAUUAAUAUCUUCAA